GACGAACGCUGGCGGCGUGCUUAACACAUGCCAGUCGAACGAAGAGCGAUGGAAGCUUGCUUCUAUCAAUCUUAGUGGCGAACGGGUGAGUAACGCGUAAUCAACCUGCCCUUCAGAGGGGGACAACAGUUGGAAACGACUGCUAAUACCGCAUACGAUCUAAUCUCGGCAUCGAGGAUAGAUGAAAGGUGGCCUCUACAUGUAAGCUAUCACUGAAGGAGGGGAUUGCGUCUGAUUAGCUAGUUGGAGGGGUAACGGCCCACCAAGGCGAUGAUCAGUAGCCGGACGGAGAGGAUGAACGGCCACAUUGGGACUGAGACACGGCCCAGACUCCUACGGGAGGCAGCAGUGGGGAAUCUUCCGCAAGGGACGAAAGUCUGACGGAGCAACGCCGCGUGAGGGAUGACGGCCGUCGGGUUGUAAAGCUCUGUUAAUCGGGACGAAAGGCCUUCUUGCGAAUAGUGAGAAGGAUUGACGGUACCGGAAUAGAAAGCCACGGCUAACUACGUG
rnacentral:rRNA from 1 species